GCCCUGGUGGCACAGUGGUUAAGUGUUUGGAUGCUAACCAAAAGGUCUGUGGUUCAAAUCCACUUACUGCU
rfam:Loxodonta africana unplaced genomic scaffold scaffold_87, whole genome shotgun sequence.